GUAACUCACUUGGGCAGCACAUAUACUAAAAUGAUACAGAGAUUAGCAUGGCCCCUGCACAAGGAUGACACACAAAUUCAUGAAGUGUUCCAUACUUUU
rnacentral:snRNA from 1 species